ACUACAUACCUGAAAAAGAAACAUAGUAAUAUUAUAUUUUAAAACUGAAUCAACAUGAAGUCCACAGGGAUCCUUAUGCAGAUUGAUGGCCCCCAUUUCUGGUGGAGGCUGGCAUCACUGCUACCUUCUAAGCAUCCUGUGUUGGGGGCUCCAUGGGCCAUCGAAGCAUCCCAGGCCAUUCUGUGCUCCGUGUCUCUUCUCACCGUGGACCCAUCCUGCUCCCUCACCCGACCGUCCCCCCAGCAAAUGAAACCUCCACUCCGACCCAGAUCAGUUCUCAGACUCGAGGAGAGGACAAGCUGCAGGUUGUUCGGACCUGAGAGGAGGGCAGAUGGGGCCUGGACACAGGCCUUUCCAGAUGUUCCCCUCUCCCAGCUGCACACCCCCCCCCAACACACACCUUCUGCUGGAACAGCGCCUUUUGCCAAUCAAUCCCACCCCCCAAUUCAGUGUCUUCCUCCUGUACUGCUCCCUCUUCCCCAAAGUGAUGGGAGGAGAAGUGCCAGGAAGGAACUGUGGGAGGAGAGCAGAGCAGAGAAGAGAUGGCUCUUCUCUCUGCCCGUCCAUCCUGUUUUCUACCAGCCAAGUCCAGCUGUCCAGUGAGCGCUCGCCCCGCCCCGCCCUUCCAAAGGUGGACAACUUCUGUGCAAAGCCAUCAUAAUGCACUUUAUGUUUUAAACUACUGGUAUCUAUUUUUCCCCCUUAUUUUUGUUUUUACUUUGCAAUAUAUAGAGAUUCUCCCACACAUUGUGAUGUUUAAACAAAUCACAAAAGAGAAACAGGUAUUAAAGAAAUGAACCUCUCCUAUUCAAACAAACAAACUGCGCUGCAUGCUGUACAGGGCUCAAAGAGGGAGAUUUUGAAUGGCUACCCUUUUUUUUUUUUUUUUUUUUUUUUUUUAAAGAAAAAAAUAAAACAAAGAGGUGGAUUUGAGCUAUGGUCA